rnacentral:rRNA from 1 species
UACGAAGGGGGCGAGCGUUGUUCGGAUUGACUGGGCGUAAAGGGCGCGUAGGCGGUCCUUCAAGUCAGGCGUGAAAGCCCCGGGCUUAACCUGGGAACGGCGCUUGAGACUGAGGGACUUGAGUUCGGGAGAGGAUGGUGGAAUUCCCAGUGUAGAGGUGAAAUUCGUAGAGAUUGGGAAGAACACCGGUGGCGAAGGCGGCCAUCUGGACCGACACUGACGCUGAGGCGCGACAGCGUGGGGAGCAAACAGG